CCAAAAGUCUUCCCCUUAUCUCAUUUUCUUGGCUGCACCAGACAGAAAGUCCAGCCUUCUUUCCCUACUCUUUUCCUUGUUCUUUGUUUCUUUCAUCCCCCCUUCUUAUAUGGCAGCCCUCCCUCUCUCACCAAAACAAAAUAUCUCUCUCUAAAGAAGAAAUUAAAGGGUUAACACUAAAAUUUCAGCUUCAAAUUGUUGGGGGUGUUACCAGUAUCCAAGUCUAAGCUCCUUCGACUUUAGGCUCUCAGUUUCUCUGCUUUCAGUUAGCAGGUUUUAUUUUGGAGCAGAGGGAGCUUUAGUCGAGUUUGGAAGGAGCUAGUUUUAGUUUUAUAUGUAUAGAUCCUAAAUUAGCAAUAUGAUGUUUAGAUUUGUAGCAUUGUGUAUUUUAGGAUCUAAUGAAAGUGUAUACCUUAAAGUAUUAAAAGAUGUAUUAUGUGAAAUUUCGAAUUUGAACAAUUGGCGGAUUAUGUUAUAUUUUGAGUACAAUGUAGAUGCUCUGACUAUCAAGUGAAAAAUUAUA